CACAAGCUUGGUCCUGACUUUACUGUCAACUUUGAUAAAAUUUAUACAUGCAAGUAUCUGCGCCCCUGUGAGAAUGCCCUACUUACCCCCGCACCCGGGAAGAUGGAGCUGGUAUCAGGCACAACCCUACUGUUAGCCCAUGACGCCUUGCUCAGCCACACCCCCAAGGGAAUCCAGCAGUAAUAAACAUUAAGCCAUAAGUGCAAACUUGACUUAGUUAACAUCAAGAGGGCCGGUAAAACUCGUGCCAGCCACCGCGGUUAUACGAGAGGCCCAAGUUGACAAAAACCGGCGUAAAGCGUGGUUAAUAAAACUUAAACUAAAGCCGAACAUCUUCAAAGCUGUUAUACGCACCCGAAGACAGGAAGACCCCCAACGAAAGUGGCUUUAACCACUAUGAAUCCACGAAAGCUAGGAAACAAACUGGGAUUAGAUACCCCACUAUGCCUAGCCCUAAACACAAAUAACCCCAAUACACACCUAUUCGCCAGGGAACAACGAGCCCCAGCUUAAAACCCAAAGGACUUGGCGGUGCUUUAGACCCCCCUAGAGGAGCCUGUUCUAGAACCGAUACUCCCCGUUCAACCUCACCCUCCCUUGUUUUCCCCGCCUAUAUACCGCCGUCGUCAGCUUACCCUGUGAAGGCCCAAAAGUAAGCAAAAUUGGCAAACCCCAAAACGUCAGGUCGAGGUGUAGCGUACGAGAGGGGAAGAAAUGGGCUACAUUUACUGACCCAGUAAACACGAAUGUUGUACUGAAACAAACAUCUGAAGGAGGAUUUAGCAGUAAGAGGAAAAUAGAGCGUUCCUCUGAAAACGGCCCUGAAGCGCGCACACACCGCCCGUCACUCUCCCCAAAACCUGCAACCUAUAAAUAAUAUAACUAAGCCCACCAUAAAGGGGAGGCAAGUCGUAACAUGGUAAGUGUACCGGAAGGUGCACUUGGACAAACCC
rnacentral:ncRNA from 1 species